AUGAAGACUCUGACACUGCUGGCAUGCAUUUGUGCACUGACUGCUUGCUUCUCACUCUGUGAAGGUCGGAAAAAGCAAGGGAAAAUACAUCACAAAAGGAAUAAUGUCCAACAAUAUACAUUUGACCGCCGAUUACCAACUCAUCUCAAAUUUCACCCUAACUGGAAUAUAUUAAUUCAAAAGCAUUUAAUUUUUGGUCCACACAGAUACCCAAAGCUUCCAAAUCCAAACAGAAGAAAACCAAAGCCGAACCGUCCCCAGCCACCUAAGUGUCCAAUUAAAAAUAACACCGUUGUCAACAGUAGCACCUCAGAGGCCAACACUCAAAUCCCAUCUUUGAGUCCCAUAACUACUUCCAACAAAACUGUUACAUCUCCAGGUGUGACUUCUACUAAUAAUGCUUCCACCAUAUCUCAAAAAGAAGAUACCGAUACAGGCCCUUCUGCAGCUACCCCAUCAACACAACCUUCCCCUGCCCUGCCAGACACCACAGCUGCCCCACCUACAUCCUCCCUAACUACACCAGCACCACAACUUUCCUCGACUCUACUGGACCACACAACUGCCCCAAAUACCACACCUAAUCCUGCCCCAAAUACCACACCUAAUCCUUCCCCAAAUACCACACCUAAUCCUUCCCCAACCACUCCUGCUUCUCCAACUUCUAAAACUACAACUGCACCCACCACCCAAACUACUACCCCAGCCACUACUCUAACUACUACUGUUGAACAAACAACCUCACCUUCCAGCCAAAAUGCAAAUUAUCGACUCCUGCAAUAUAUUUAUGAGUUAAUAAAGUACAUUUAUGGUAUUAUACCAAAGAAAUAGUACAUCAUACAUUAUGAAGUGUUCUGUUGUCAGACAUGAGUUAUGAGUUACUUUUGCCACCAAUCUCAAAGUGAAAUAACAAUAUUCUUCAAAUUUAAAGCACUAUCACUAAUCUUUUAAUCUAUUUACCUCACAUGACUUAUUAACAAGAAAAACCACCUCUAUCUCACAAAACAAGCGCAUAACUUUAAUAGAUCACUUUGUGGAACCUAUAGAGACAGCCUACUGAGGGGGGAAAAGACAUUAACUAAAGAGACAAAAUUACAUGGAUCAGGAAACAUUUAUUUUUCCCUAAAUGAUGGAAACCAUAAGGCCACUAUUCUAUACCCUCAACCAAGAACCCACCUGAAUUGUCUAAUCCCACAAAUAUAAAGGGAUAAUAUCAUGUCUCUCAAACAAAAACAUGUAAAUAUAGAUUAACCUGUAUUGUAGGUUAAUCAUUGUAUUACUGGUUAGAGACAAAAAUUCUUUAAACAAUCAUCCUAAAGCCUUAAAUCCAAUUCCAUUCCACAAUAUGUGAACCAAGGAAGGGAAAGUUGAUUUGAAGUGAAGAUUUGAAGUUAGUGAAAAUGAAAUCUGGCAGCCAAGCACAAACCAGGUCCCCGGCACUAUGUAUUUGAGAGCAUAUGAUUGUUUAGACUUAUGGUUGAUAUUAAUUGUAUUAUAUCUAAGUUAAUUUGCAUCCAAUGUACUUGAUUCUAGCCUCUGUGAAUCACAAGAAAACUUUUUGUGUAUGUUCACAUGGUGGUAAUAAUAUUUUACUAUGAAUUCAAUUAAUUUCAUCUUACUAAUUCAAUUAAUUCAAUGUGAAAUGUAUUCAGCAGCAGAAUAUUUUCUAAAACUUUUAGCCAUACAUUUAAACGUGUUUUAAAGCAAACCAUACUAAACUACUGCCCUGAUGUUACGUUUGCAAAACUGUCUCUGAAAAUAAACCCUGAUUGUAGUCAAUAGGAGAAUAAAAA
ensembl:lncRNA